AUAAAUGUAUACGUUGUACCGUAGACAGCAGGUGCGCCCCGGGCGCUUAAUUUCCUGCCGAGGUGUUCGCUUAUAAACAGGCAGGUUUUCCUGCCUUAUGAGGAGCCUCCAUGUCUCGGUGCAUGGGGGCUUUUUCUUUGCACCG
rfam:Salimicrobium jeotgali strain MJ3 Contig45, whole genome shotgun sequence.